AACAAAACAACUCUCAUAAUACAUUCAAUGUAAACACCAUUAGGUAUGGUAUAUAUGGGAGCAGGGGCGGAUCCACAGAGGAGCAAUGGUGGUCAAUUGACCCCUGCAACCUAUGAAAUGCUCUAUUAGAGCAGCCGAAGUUGACCCACGCAAAGUGUUCGACGAAAUGCCUCAAAGGGGCAACCUGUGUCUGUGCGCAGAUGAAGGAGAAGAAGUGCAGCGCGCGCCUUGUUUUUUUUUUUGGUUUGCUCGACGUUGUUUCCACUAAAGCUUUUUUUAUUUAUUUAUUUAUUAUUUUUAUUUAUAAACCUAUACCAAAACGUGCGCGCCUUCUCUUUUUUUUUUUUUUUUUUUUCGCUCGACGUAAAAAAGACGUCGUUCCACUAAAGGCUUUUUUUAUUAUUUUAUUUUUUUAAACCUGACCAAAACGACUUCAUUUUAUCAAGUUCUGAAAUCACACAGAUUAAAAGGAACAUGAACUCUUUACUUUUGAGUGAAAUAACAAUCGUGCAACAAAACAACUCUCAUAAUACAUUCAAUGCAAACACCAUUUGGUAUGGUAUAUAUGGGAGCAGGGGCGGAUCCACAGAGGAGCAAUGGUGGUCAAUUGACCCUUGCAACCUAUGAAAUGCUCUAUUAGAGCAGCCGAAGUUGACCCACGCAAAGUGUUCGACGAAAUGCCUCAAAGGGGCAACCUGUGUCUGUGCGCAGAUGAAGGAGAAGAAGUGUAGCGCGCCCCUUUUUUUUUUUUUUGUUUGCUCGACGUUGUUUCCACUAAAGUUUUUUUUAUUUAUUUAUUUAUUAUUUUUAUUUAUAAACCUAUACCAAAACGUGCGCGCCUUUUCUUUUUCUUUUUUCUUUUUUUUUUCGCUCGACGUAAAAAAGACGUCGUUCCACUAAAGGCUUUUUUUAUUAUUUUAUUUUUUUAAACCUGGCCAAAACGACUUCGUUUUGGCACAGGUAAAAAAAAUAAAAAUAAUAAUAGAGCAGCAACCUGCUCUGUUAUGUUUUGCCCGAUAAUUCUCCCCUCCCCAAAUGUUAAAACUCAUUUCUUCUCACCUCUAAACCUCUAAACCCUAAACCCCUAACUCAACCUUUACUUCCUUCCCCUACAAAUCUGACGGCGACGCCAGCAAAGUGGUGGAGGCGACAGCAAAGUGGCGUAGCAGCAAAUUACAUAAGUGAUUUCAAUUUUCAAAGGUGGAUUUGUCCCUCAAAUUUGAAAUUAUGUUAUUCUAAUUUCUUUAUACUUUAAUUAAUUAGUAAAGAUUGUCAUAUGUUUGUGUUUUUCUUGAUUAGUUGUUAACUUGUUAUUGUUUGUUGUUG
rnacentral:lncRNA from 1 species